rnacentral:tRNA from 1 species
CACUACGUAGCUCAGUUGGCAGAGCAUUGGGCUAGUAUUCCAAAGGUCGUAGGUUCGAUUCCCACCGUGGCCA